rnacentral:rRNA from 1 species
AUUGAACGCUGGCGGCAGGCCUAACACAUGCAAGUCGAGCGGUAGAGAGAAGCUUGCUUCUCUUGAGAGCGGCGGACGGGUGAGUAAUGCCUAGGAAUCUGCCUGGUAGUGGGGGAUAACGUUCGGAAACGGACGCUAAUACCGCAUACGUCCUACGGGAGAAAGCAGGGGACCUUCGGGCCUUGCGCUAUCAGAUGAGCCUAGGUCGGAUUAGCUAGUUGGUGGGGUAAUGGCUCACCAAGGCGACGAUCCGUAACUGGUCUGAGAGGAUGAUCAGUCACACUGGAACUGAGACACGGUCCAGACUCCUACGGGAGGCAGCAGUGGGGAAUAUUGGACAAUGGGCGAAAGCCUGAUCCAGCCAUGCCGCGUGUGUGAAAAAGGUCUUCGGAUUGUAAAGCACUUUAAGUUGGGAGGAAGGGCAGUAAAUUAAUACUUUGCUGUUUUGACGUUACCGACAGAAUAAGCACCGGCUAACUCUGUG